UCCAAUAUUCGUCGCAUAAGGAGCCUUCUUUGUCUGUGAAGGAAAAACACACUGAUUAUCAUCAUGAGGUACCCAGUGCCCCCACAAGCCCCUUCUGGAGUCUCCAUCUCCUGCCAAGCGUCCUCCAAUGCCUUCUCCUGUGGGCCUGGCUUCAGGGCUGAGGACAGACAUGUCCUGUACCAGAGACCCCUCGUGAUCAGGCCCUGGUGGGUGUUGCCCCUGCCUGCCUAUGCCCCCGACAUGGCCCCCAGAGUCCCGGGCUCCCCACUCAGUGUUGGGUUUGGGGCUGCCCUUAGCCCGGGCUAUUGCUUCUUUGGACCAUUUCCUGUCAUUGCCCCCAGCAGUCACUCCACUUCACUGGAGAGCAACCUGCAGGUGAGGCCUUGCCCUGUGUCUGUCUCGGGCAUGUGUGGCUUUUCCGGGGUGCUUGCCUUGCCAUGAUCCUAACUCUCUGCCCUUCCCCAAGCUACGUGGGCCGUGGCCUGGCUGAAUCAGCUGAAGAGCUGCAGAUGGAAGUGGAGGAAGCGCCCCUGAUGGGACCCACCACCCCGGACCCGAGCCUUCCUUCUUCCUGGUUUGGGGUGAGUUUCUUGCUCUCUUGAGACAGCAGGAUUUUAUUAGGGUCAGUUCAUGUCUCUCCUCUCUGUUCAAGAGUGUCAGCAUUUAAUCUGGGGAGGGGGCAAACUACCAAGGUGAAUCCUGUCCACAUAGCCCCGGAGGUCUGGGGGCCUGACAGCUGCCUGGAGUGGAGAGCCUCACCACCCCCACCAGCACGUGUGGGCGUCCACCCUGGCCGAUGGCAUGCUGUGGGCCAGCGACAGUAAGUGGGAUGCUUCCACCUCCACGGCAGACUCCCGAGAACAGCUGGGGCCAGCACACAGGAGUCCUCAGUACCUUGCUGGACAUAGUGGCACACGGGAUGCAGGGUGCAUUCCGGGCCCACUCCCGGCCCACGGACCUGCUCACAUAGGAGGAAGUGGGAAUGCUUGCUGCUCCUCAGCUGGGAAGACGUUUCUUCCCACCAGCCCUGUGAGAAUCGUGGUUUCUCACACAUGAGGCUUCGAUAAUGUCCUUUAAUCAAAUAGUGGCUUUGCAGCAAGUUCUUCUCUUGGCCUCCUUUCCUCACCCCUGAAAUUGCAAUGAGAUGGGAAUGUUUUUGUUUGUUUAAAGGAAAUCAGCAAUGGUAGAGAGGAAGAGAGCAGGGGAUUGGAGCCACGGGGAUUGGAGCCACAGGGCUUGGAGCCACAGUGUUCACUCGCGCAUGUGUUUACUUGUGGUUUACUCAUUCAAGAUGCACCUGGGAGCUGGCUAGGGCAUGGGCUUGGGCUCGUUUGGGGUGCCUGAGGCUGGGCUUUGCACUGAAGACCAGAGGGUCUAGUUGGGUGCCCUGGGAGCAGCCAUGCAGUGAAGUGGCUUGCACGGCAGCCAAGCAAAGUGGCAUGGGGGGCAGGGGCUCAGGGUUGCAUGUUGGACGGCCAUGCUGGGGUGAAGGCUGGGCCGGCAGGAAGAGCGGAGGCCUAGCAGCGGGCACUUUUCCUUUCCGGGGUCCCAGGGACUGAGCAGCCCAUGGUUCACUCAGGGCGAUGGGGUGUUUUUAGAGCCAGCUGCCCUGGGGGACAGUGUCAGCCUCUCGAUAUCCUUUAUAUCUGAUGCCCCUGGGGUGGCCACUGGCAUGAAUGAGUACAGUAAGGCUUCCCAGGGGCCCUGGGUGGGCGCUGAGAAAGGUCUGAACUGUGGGGUGAGGCUGGCUCAGUGUCACCUGACAUUUAUGGAGCCUUGAGUGAGCGGUAGCACUGUCCUUGGCCCAGAUGCCCAUACUCCCCCCAGAUACCCACACAUGGGGUUCCUGAGGGAAGUGGAGGAGCAGAGUGGCACGCCGGGCCACGCCCAGCCUCCAGUCCUCCAAACAUUGCAGCCCGUGUGCCGCCCCGGCCCCCCACCCCGCAGAGUCUCCGGUUUCCAGCGCAACCUCCAUAAUGCUCUUUAAUCAAACAGAGGAUUUGGAGACAGCUCUUCUGCAGCCCUGCCCUUCUCCCCUGAAAUUGAAAUAGGAUGGGGAUAUUAUUUUUAAACAAAUCUGGCAGCGGAGGCAGAGGGGGCAGAGGCGCUCUGACCUGGGCUGUUGCCUUUGUCUGCUUGCUUCUGCUCUCUGGAGAGCCCCUCAGCCUGGAGAGACGGGGGCAGUGUGUGCCCAGGGCUAAACCCAGGGAGGGGCCCAGGAACACUCUGCCCUGUGACAUUUACUCCAAGGCUAGCAUUUGCUGAGCCACCUGCAAACACAGUGAUGUGGAGAAGAGGCCUGGGAGGGGAGCUUUGCACAGGGCAGGAUGCCGGGCUCCUGGGGGGAUGUGUCCCAGGCUUCCGAGAAUGCAUUUGCGUAGCUGGUCUGAACCAGAUCCCCUCGGCUCCGGAACUCAUUUCUCAAGGACACCUGAGGACUUUCCCAAGGAGGACUAAGCCCAGGAGCAGAGUCAGAGUGAAGGCCGGGACAAACAGACGAGGCCCAGACAGGACCGCACUUUGCCAGCCCCUGGCUCUCAGGAGUUGAAAGGGAACCGUCUUUGCACUGAGUUCUAUUUCAGGUGCUCAUGAGUGUUCAGUCUCAGGAAACAUGUAUUUGGGAUUUUGUGUGUCAUGAGGUAGAAAAUAGGUAAACAUAUACCACAUUCUCAGCUAAAGAAGUUGAAAUGUGACAUAGUACAUCAGCCUCGCCGAUGAGCCUCUCGGGAACUGCUGAAAGGCUGUUAUUAAGUGUUGAAAGACGUGAUCAUUUUCAGGAACAUUCUAUUUUAUUUAUUUAUAUUUUUUUAUUUUUGAGAGGGAGUCUCACUCUGUUGCCCAGGCUGGAGUGCAGUGGCAACGAUCUCAGCUCACUGCAACCUCUGCCUCCUGGGUUCAGGCGAUUCUCCUGCCUCAGGCUCCCCAGUAGCUGGGACUACAGGUGCCCGCCACCACACCCAGCUAUAUUUGUAUUUUUAGUAGAGAUGGGGUUUCACCAUAUUGGCCAGGCUGGUCUCGAACUCCUGACCUUGUGAUCCACCCACCUCAGCCUCCCAAAGUGCUGGGAUUACAGGCGUGAACCACCGCUCCUGGCCAUGUAUUUUGAUGGAUUGGCCAAUGCCUGAGCAAUACAGGGUGGAGACAAGACCCUGACUGAGCAGGCAGUGAGCCACAGAGGAUCCUGUCACGGCGGUGGAGGGCGGUGGGGGAUAUCUGGGCAUUUGUCAUAGGGCUAAGUGGUUCCUGGGGGGCUGUCUCUAGUGGGACUCUUCUGGGUGGUGCAAGUGUCAGGGUGAAGAUGGUGGUCUGGUCUGGAAACUGGCUCUCCUCUUCCACCUGCUACCAAAGGCUGGCUCAGGCCUGAGCUCACGGAAAGGAAGAAAACAGCCCCUCAUUUGCUCCCUCGCCCCCACCUUCUCUCACCUGCGAGUUGCUCGUGGCUGCCUGUAGGACCCCUGACCUCCUGCCUCCUGAGUUGUGAUCCAAACCCCAAAUGUCUUUCCAAGUACAUUUCUCCAAAUAAUGUCAAGACUCAGCAAGACUUAGGGGCAACAGGAUGCAUGGACUUCUUAUUCAUUCAUUUACAUGAAAUAACGUAAAUGUGUUUUUUUAUGAGCAAUCUGACUUCCAGAAAGAAUGGAAAAGAAAAUUUACCCGUCUUUAAUGAGCUUGCUAAUGAAUUUUUCCUUGCAAAGGGGAAGGGAGCUUUCCACAGAAGGGGGUGUGCAGGGAGACAGAUUCAGGUCCGAAAAGGGUUAAAGGGCAGGGGGCAUUGUGAGCUUCAGUGGAAAAGCCCUGGGUCUCUGGGGGCGGCUUCUUUUUAGGAGACUGGAAUUAAUGAGUUGUGAAUUGUCCCAAGGACUGUUUCCCCCUCCCCGAUGCUUCUCUGAGCCCUGUGCCUCUCCCAAAGGAGGAAUAAG
rnacentral:lncRNA from 1 species